rnacentral:misc_RNA from 1 species
ACGCGAGUAGGGGAAGCUGAUCUAUGGUGAUUAGCAUGAAAAAAUACUGUAGGUGGGGAACAGAAACUGGAGCUAGUUGAAGAAGCAAAGGCAGAGGAAGAUGAAGAGGAUGACAAAUAAGAAUUCGUAUGAGGGGUUUGAAAUCUUCCACGAGAAUGUAGAACUUGUCCGCUGGAUCUUCUUGAAUGCGAGCUUGUAGCCAUUUUUGAGAGGGAAGAGAAAGACGAGGAAGAUGAAAGAAGUGGAGAAGCAGAAGAAAGGGGGGCUUUUUGGGGAAUUUACUCCGAAAGGCUUCGUGGGCUGAUUGGUUUGGCAAACCUGGCAAGUCUCGAGGCCUAAAUUUAUAGAAUCGAU